GUGCUCGCUUUGGCAGCACAUAUACUGAAAUUGGAACGAUACAGAAAAGAUUAGCAUGGCCCUUGUGCAAGGAUGACAUGCAAAUUUGUGAAGUGUUCCAUAUUUUU
ensembl:snRNA U6 U6 spliceosomal RNA